CUUGGUCAUUUAGAGGAAGUAAAAGUCGUAACAAGGUCUCCGUAGGUGAACCUGCGGAGGGAUCAAUAUCGAACCUGGCCCCCUGGCCACGUCUACCUUGCAAACCCGUGGAAGCGAACCGUGCUUCGGCGCCUCGGCGUCGAGUUUAUGCUGCAGUUGGUAGUUUGCGUCUGAAUCAAACCGAAGAACAUAAAACUUUCAACAGAGGAUCUCUUGGCUCUUGUAUCGAUGAAGAACGCAGCAAAGCGCGAAAUGUAGUGAACAUAGCAGCACAAUUGUGAAUCAUCGAAUCUUUGAACGCACAUUGCGCCUCCGGUAGCUCGGAGGCAUGCCUGUCUGAGCGUCAUUUAAAACCAUGGACCCAGGAUUGGGUCCGUAUUGGGCGUCGCCCCCCUCUCCAGAGUGGCGCGUGGCCUCAAAGACAUUGGUCUCACAUGCGGACGAGCUCCCUUGGGACGGACCGCGUGGAGACCCUAAGCAUCUGACUUUGAUCUCAGAUCAGGUAGGACUACCGCCUGAACUUAAGCAUAUCAAUAAGCGGAGGA
rnacentral:rRNA from 1 species